UACGGGGGGGGCAAGCGUUGUUCGGAAUUACUGGGCGUAAAGGCUCGUAGGCGGCCAACUAAGUCGGAUGUGAAAUCCCCAGGCUCAACCUGGGAACUGCAUCCGAUACUGGAUGGCUUGAAUCCGGGAGAGGGAUGCAGAAUUCCAGGUGUAGCGGUGAAAUGCGUAGAUAUCUGGAGGAAUACCGGUGGCGAAGGCGGCAUCCUGGGACCGGCAUUGACGCUGAGGAGCGAAAGCUAGGGGAGCAAACGGGG
rnacentral:rRNA from 1 species